CUAAUAAAUGUCAAUUAAUUUACAGUGACUUGAAGUGAACACCAGUUCAGCUCAUUAGCGUCUCUCGCUCGAGUGACCAACUGACUAAUCCGUUAAUCCCUAAUCCGUUAAUCCUGAUUGGAUUAGAAACUUCAAAGCAAAAUCGCCAGUGACUUCGUGCGAAUAGUGUUCACCCUACUGGUGACUUCAUGAGAAGACACCGCCCUGGGUUCUAUU